rnacentral:miRNA from 1 species
CUUAGAUUAGAGGAUAUUGUU